UACUACUCUAUCUCUAUCUUUACUUAAUUGUCUUUUAUUUGUUUGGUUUGUAAUAAUAUUCUGAUGUUGCUUGGAUAUUGGCUGGAUAUUUUAAUUGUGUACUCUAAAUUUGAAUCUUCCUUUGUUUAAUUGUGGAAUGAUUUUUACCUCUAGAAUUUGUUUCAACAUUUUGGCAUAUUCUUUCUAGUCACUUGAGUAUCAAUUACUUGAUUUUCUCCGUGUGUGAUAUGUGAAACUUGCAGUGCAAUAGCUUGUUGCACUCAUGUGAUCAAGAGGCAAAGGAAGGGAACGCACACUUUUUGACUGGUUCUUUGAUUCGACCCAACCGAGAGGUAUUGAGCCAAACACUCCUUUUUCUUCUAUGUGUGAUA
rnacentral:lncRNA from 1 species